rnacentral:rRNA from 1 species
UAGUCAUAUGCUUGUCUCAAAGAUUAAGCCAUGCAUGUCUAAGUAUAAACUGCUUAUACGGCGAAACUGCGAAUGGCUCAUUAAAUCAGUUAGAGUUUAUUUAUGGUACCUUACUACUCGGAUAACCGUAGUAAAGCUACAGCUAAUACGUGCGCAAAUCCCGACUCACGAAGGGACGUAUUUAUUAGAUUCAAGACCGACCGUGCUUGCACGCUCUUGGUGAAUCAUGGUAACUUCACGAAUCGCACGGCCUCGCGCCGGCGAUGUUUCAUUCAACUUUCUGCCCUAUCAACUUUCGACGGUAGUAUAGAGGACUACCGUGGUAGUAACGGGUGACGGAGAAUUAGGGUUCGAUUCCGGAGAGGGAGCCUGAGAAACGGCUACCACAUCCAAGGAAGGCAGCAGGCGCGCAAAUUACCCAAUCCUGACACAGGGAGGUAGUGACAAAAAAUAUCAAUACUGGGCCUCUUGGUCCGGUAAUUGGAAUGAGUACAAUCUAAACACGUUAACGAGGAUCCAUUGGAGGGCAAGUCUGGUGCCAGCAGCCGCGGUAAUUCCAGCUCCAAUAGCGUAUAUUUAAGUUGUUGCAGUUAAAAAGCUCGUAGUUGGAUUUCGGGUGGGCUGCGGCGGUCUCCGAACGGUAGUACUGCCGACGCCCGCCUUGCUGCCGGGGACGCGCUCCUUGCUUCAUUGUCGGGGACGCGGAAUCGGCGACGUUACUUUGAGUAAAUUGGAGUGUUCAAAGCAAGCCUACGCUCUGAACAUAAUAGCAUGGGAUAACACGACAGGACUCUGGCCUAUCGUGUUGGUCUGUAGGACCAGAGUAAUGAUUAAGAGGGACAGUCGGGGGCAUUCGUAUUCCGUUGUCAGAGGUGAAAUUCUUGGAUUUACGGAAGACGAACAUCUGCGAAAGCAUUUGCCAAGGAUGUUUUCAUUGAUCAAGAACGAAAGUUGGGGGCUCGAAGACGAUUAGAUACCGUCGUAGUCUCAACCAUAAACGAUGCCGACUAGGGAUUGGAGGAAGUUUUUUUGAUGACUCCUCCAGCACCACAUGAGAAAUCAAAGUUUUUGGGUUCCGGGGGGAGUAUGGUCGCAAGGCUGAAACUUAAAGGAAUUGACGGAAGGGCACCACCAGGCGUGGAUUUUGCGGCUUAAUUUGACUCAACACGGGAAAACUUACCAGGUCCAGACAAGAGAAGGAUUGACAGAUUGAAAGCUCUUUCUUGAUUUCUUGGGUGGUGGUGCAUGGCCGAUCUUAGUUGGUGGGUUGCCUUGUCAGGUUGAUUCCGGUAACGAACGAGACCUCAACCUGCUAAAUAGGCGGGUCUGCUCCGGCAGUCGCUGUCUUCUUAGAGGGACCGUUGGCGUCUAGCCAAUGGAAGUAUGAGGCAAUAUCAGGUCUGUUUGCCCUUAGAUGUUCUGGGCCGCACGCGCAAUACACUGAUACGUUCAACAAGUCACCUGGUCCGAAAGGGCUGGGCAAUCUUUGAAACCGUAUCGUGAUGGGGAUAGAACAUUGCAAUUAUUGUUCUUCAACGAGAAAUGCCUAGUAAGCGCGAGUCAUCAUCUCGCGUUGAUUACGUCCCUGCCCUUUGUACACACCGCCCGUCGCUCCUACCGAUUGAACGUGCUGGUGAAGCGGUAGGACUGGACCGCCGGCUAGCAAUGGUCGACGGUUCGGGAAUUCCGUUGAACCCUCCCGUUUAGAGGAAGGAGAAGUCGUAACAAGGUUUCCGUAGGUGAACCUGCGGAAGGAUCAUUGAUACCAUCAUGUGCACUCGCGCACCGCAACCCCUGUCUGCCUGGCACGCCGCGCCCGUCGCGCGUGUCCCCCGUCGGGUGGGAACCCCUCGGGGAGGCGGGUGCCCGGCGCGCCGCCGCCGGCCCCGCCUAGGCCCGAUCCACCUUUUUUCCUCACCAGACCAAACCGAUUGUCUGAAGCAAUUCUGCCGCGGCCGGACUCGCUCCGCCGCGCGCAACAACAGAGACAACUCUCAACAACGGAUAUCUUGGCUCUCGCAACGAUGAAGAACGCAGCGAAAUGCGAUACGUAGUGUGAAUUGCAGAAUUCCGCGAAUCAUCGAAUCUUUGAACGCACAUUGCGGUUGCGCUCCUGCGCAACCAUGUCUGCCUCAGCGUCCGUGUGAACCCUCACCGCCCCCAACCCCCGCCUCGGGGAGGGGCCGGUGGUCCUGGCCUCCCGAGUCGGCCCCCUCGAGGCCCUCGACUCGGCUGGCUGAAAUGCAGAGGGCGUCGCCCGGGCCCCGACUGUGGGCCUCGGUUUGGUAGGUAGUCGUACUACUCCAGCCGAGCGCCCGGCGCCUCGGUGCGAGCCCCGCAGGAAUCGCUCCACGACCACGACCUGGACCUGAGCUCAGGCAAGG